GCAGUCGCCGCGGGAAUACAGAGGGUGCAAGCGUUAAUCGGAAUUACUGGGCGUAAAGCGCGCGUAGGUGGUUUGUUAAGUUGGAUGUGAAAGCCCCGGGCUCAACCUGGGAACUGCAUCCAAAACUGGCAAGCUAGAGUACGGUAGAGGGUGGUGGAAUUUCCUGUGUAGCGGUGAAAUGCGUAGAUAUAGGAAGGAACACCAGUGGCGAAGGCGACCACCUGGACUGAUACUGACACUGAGGUGCGAAAGCGUGGGGAGCAAACAGGAUUAGAUACCCCUGUAGUCCCUGUCUCUUAUAC
rnacentral:rRNA from 1 species